rnacentral:rRNA from 1 species
CUACGUAGGGUGCAAGCGUUGUCCGGAUUUAUUGGGCGUAAAGGGCUCGUAGGCGGUCUGUCACGUCGGAUGUGAAAACUCGGAGCUCAACUCCGGGCCUGCAUCCGAUACGGGCAGACUAGAGUUCGGUAGGGGAGAUUGGAAUUCCUGGUGUAGCGGUGGAAUGCGCAGAUAUCAGGAGGAACACCGAUGGCGAAGGCAGAUCUCUGGGCCGAUACUGACGCUGAGGAGCGAAAGCGUGGGGAGCAAACAGGAUUAGAAACCCCGGUAGUCC